rnacentral:ncRNA from 1 species
UUAAAGUUUUGCUCCAGCUUAACAUUAUAGUAUUUCAUUCACGCACAUGCCAGCGUUAGCCCACCUAUAAGAUCAUACAAGCUUAAAGCUAUUAAUAUAGAUAUAAGAUUUCAAUUAAAUCAAAAACAUCUUAUAAGCAGUGCAUAAUAUUUUAAAAUUAGAGAAAUCUAGAAAAAGAAAAAGAAUGGAAUUUUAAAAAAUUUUAUUUUUUUUAACUUCCUUUUAAGAUGGAUAAAAUUGUGCCAGCAUCCGCGGUUAUACAAUUAUCUAAACUAUAACAUAUAGGUAGAAUGGUCUAAUUUUCUUUGAGAGACCUUAUCAUAGGUAUAAUUUACUAAAAACCCCACUCUCUCUUAUAUUAAUUCCAUGAAAGUUUUAUUUAGAACUAGGAUUAGAUACCCUACUACUACUAACCAUAAAAUUUUACCAGGGUAUUACGAGAAAUCUUAAAACCUAAAGAGCUUGGCGGUCUUCUACUCUAUCAGGGGAGCUUGUCACAUAAACGAUAAUCCGCGAUAAAAUUAACCUUUAAUAGACUCACAGUUUGUAUACCUCCGUCCAGUUAAUCUUUAAGAGAAUUAACUCCCCCGAUUACUCAAUCAUAAUGACAGGUAAAGGCGCAGCUCAUUUAAAGGAGUAGAUGAGCUACAUUAUCAUUAAUCAAUAGAACUUUUCUUUUAAAAGAAAAAUAAAAUAGUACUUGAAAGUAAUUUGACUUUAAAACAGAAAAAUGAAGAAACACUUAGAAGAUGCACAAAUCGCCCGUCGGUCCCUCCCAAAGGGGGGAAAAGUCGUAACAAAGUAGUUGUACUUGAAAGUGUAUCU